UUCCCAGGAUCCGAUUUCAGAAUAAGUCAGUUUUAUAUAAGAGUUCGCGUCCAUUUGAAACCUAGUGGCAAUACGUCUUAGCUACGGAGCGCAAACUGGCUUCUUUAGUAGGUACGAUCAAUCGACGGGCGGCCUCAAACGUACGCCACAAGGGUAUUAACGGGGACUUCAGGCAAACCUUUCAGAAACAUCGCGUAACUAGAACAGCCAACUUCAGAAAGAGUUUUUCCAAAAACAUUUGACUCCUACACAAGAUAGUGAGAAAGAUGUUGCGGUUAUCAAGUCAAGAGUGAAACACAUUGAAGAAAAACGCUGAGUCCCGGAAAUCGUGCUGAAUUCGGCUGGCUUCGAACCCAUUAAGGACGCAUAAAUUUUCUUUGUCCCACGCUCGUAACACGAUGGUACAGAAUGAACACUGCAUCUUUCUAAUUUCGCAAUCCAGCUUAACAAAAUUGCCAUCUUCCUCCAUUUAUCACUGGAAGAUAUCUUUAACGCAAAUGCAAAAAGAACGAACCAGUCGCUUCAACGAGAAAGGAAUGAACUUUGUCACUUUCUAACGAGUCAAAGCACGAUUUGAAGAACCAAAUACACUCUUUUUUAUAAGAAUACUGUUUUUCCGGCCGAGGCUGAAUAUUCUUAUUUUUCUGCCGAAUUUAUCUUGAGAUUAUUCUUAAUUCUUGUGAAAAUAUUCUUGUGACUAUUUUCAGUUUAUAGAGUAUGACAUUUCUGUUUUUGAAUGUAUUUGGUGUCUGGAUGGUGAUAAAGUAAUUUUGGAACCAGCUUGUAGGCAUCAAAGCCUGAUAUGACGCAGAUAACUUCUUGCAGAAAUUUUAUUAGCAUCGACCAUACGGCUAAUACUGUUUUUGUUGCUUUUUGGCUACUUUUGCCAUUUAGGGAAAGGAAGAAUAUAAUUUUAUACGAUUUAGUUAAAAACCAA
rnacentral:misc_RNA from 1 species